CCUACGGGUGGCAGCAGUGAGGAAUAUUGGUCAAUGGGCGGGAGCCUGAACCAGCCAAGCCGCGUGAGGGAUGAAGGUACAGCGUAUCGUAAACUUCUUUUGUCAGGGCACAAAGGCGGGCACUAGUCCCUGGAUGAGGGUACCUGAAGAAAAAGCAUCGGCUAACUCCGUGCCAGCAGCCGCGGUAAUACGGAGGAUGCGAGCGUUAUCCGGAUUUAUUGGGUGUAAAGGGUGCGCAGGUGGCCUGUUAAGUCAGCGGUAAAAGUCCGGGGCUCAACCACGGCGAGACGUUGAAACUGGCGGGCUGGAGUUGGAGAGAGGUACGCGGAAUGCGCGGUGUAGGGGGGAAAUGCGGAGAUAACGCGGAGAACCCCGAGUGCGAAGGCAGCGUACCGGCUCCACACUGACGCUGAGGCACGAAAGUGUGGGGAGCAAACAGGAUUAGAUACCCCGGUAGUC
rnacentral:rRNA from 1 species